rnacentral:rRNA from 1 species
UACGGAGGGAGCUAGCGUUGUUCGGAAUUACUGGGCGUAAAGCGCACGUAGGCGGUUUGUUAUGUCGGAUGUGAAAGCCCUUGGCUCAACUGAGGAAGUGCAUCCGAAACUGGCAAGCUAGAGUAUGUAAGAGGGUCGCGGAAUUCCCGGUGUAGAGGUGAAAUUCGUAGAUAUCGGGAGGAACACCGGUGGCGAAGGCGGCGACCUGGGACAAUACUGACGCUGAGGUGCGAAAGCGUGGGGAGCAAACAGG